UACGAAGGGUGCAAGCGUUGCUCGGAUUUAUUGGGCGUAAAGCGCGCGCAGGCGGAUCAGCAAGUCAGGUGUGAAAUCUCGGGGCCUAACCCCGAAAGUGCGCCUGAAACUGCUAGUCUAGAGUAUCGGAGGGGGCAGGGGAAUUUCACGUGUAGGGGUAAAAUCCGUAGAGAUGUGAAGGAACACCGGAGGCGAAGGCGCCUGCCUGGACGAUUAUUGACGCUGAGGCGCGAAAGCGUGGGGAGCAAACAGG
rnacentral:rRNA from 1 species